AUUGAACGCUGGCGGCAGGCCUAACACAUGCAAGUCGAACGAGUGGCGGACGGGUGAGUAAUGUCUGGGAAACUGCCCGAUGGAGGGGGAUAACUACUGGAAACGGUAGCUAAUACCGCAUACCAUCGGAUGUGCCCAGAUGGGAUUAGCUAGUAGGUGGGGUAAUGGCUCACCUAGGCGACGAUCCCUAGCUGGUCUGAGAGGAUGACCAGCAACACUGGAACUGAGAAACGGACCAGACGGCUACGUGAGGCAGCAGUGGGGAAUAUGGCACAAUGGGCGCAAGCCUGAUGCAGCCAUGCCGCGUGUAUGAAGAAGGCCUUCGGGUUGUAAAGUACUUUCAGCGGGGAGGCGUUACCGGCAGAAGAAGCACCGGCUAACUCCGUGCCAGCAGCCGCGGUAAUUC
rnacentral:rRNA from 1 species